GUUUGUGAGUAGGAGGAAACUGCAAGCAGUAAUUGAGCAGGUUAUGGUGGAUCAUCUGUCAAGAGAAAAAUCUCAGAAGUCUUUAAUGGAGAACAACUUAUCCAACAAUUAUCGUGCAUGGUGCUUGAACAGAGGGAGGCUGUACUGCCUGCAGGACAUCUCACAGGGUGCCGAGCUUCAUUUCUGAGCAGACGGCCCACACCUACCUCCCACAAAGUCUGAGACAGCAGCCGUGCCUGACCCUCAGAGUUACUGAUGUGGAUAACACAGCCAAGGGAGCCCUGCUGUAUGUUCCCCACACACA